rnacentral:rRNA from 1 species
UACGUAGGGUGCGAGCGUUAAUCGGAAUUACUGGGCGUAAAGCGUGCGCAGGCGGCGCGUUAAGACAGGUGUGAAAGCCCCGAGCUUAACUUGGGAAUUGCGCUUGUGACUGGCGUGCUGGAGUGUGGCAGAGGGAGGUGGAAUUCCACGUGUAGCAGUGAAAUGCGUAGAGAUGUGGAGGAACACCGAUGGCGAAGGCAGCCUCCUGGGC